rnacentral:snRNA from 1 species
GUACUGAGCUUCAGCAGCACACAUACAAAAAUUAGAAUGAUAUAGAAGAGAGUAGCAUGGCCCCUCCAAAAGGAUGACACUCAAAUUUGUGAAGCAUUCCAUACUUUU